UGCGUAUUUUGCGCAGGCGGAGCUCGACCGCCGGUUCAAGCCAUGAUCGCGUUCAUCGAUGAUCACCGAGGUGAGUAUGGGGUCGAGCCGAUCUGCAAGGUACUGCCGAUCGCCCCU
rfam:Acidocella sp. MX-AZ02 genomic scaffold Contig6, whole genome shotgun sequence.